rnacentral:pre_miRNA from 1 species
UAAUAACUCCCUCUGUCUGAAAAAACUUGUCCCUCAAAUGGAUGUAUCUAGCACCAAGUUAGUGCUAGAUGCCUAGAUACAUUCAUUUGAGAGACAAGCUUGGGACAAGCUUUUUCGGACGGAGGGAGUAUAUU